AAUGAACGCUGGCGGCAUGCCUUACACAUGCAAGUCGAACGGCAGCAUGACCUAGCUUGCUAGGUUGAUGGCGAGUGGCGAACGGGUGAGUAAUGCAUCGGAACGUGCCUUUUAGUGGGGGAUAACGUAGCGAAAGUUACGCUAAUACCGCAUAUUCUCUGAGGAGGAAAGCAGGGGACCUUCGGGCCUUGCGCUAGAAGAGCGGCCGAUGUCGGAUUAGCUAGUUGGUGAGGUAAAGGCUCACCAAGGCAACGAUCCGUAGCGGGUCUGAGAGGAUGAUCCGCCACACUGCGACUGAGACACGGCCCAGACUCCUACGGGAGGCAGCAGUGGGGAAUUUUGGACAAUGGGCGCAAGCCUGAUCCAGCCAUGCCGCGUGAGUGAAGAAGGCCUUCGGGUUGUAAAGCUCUUUCGGCUGGGAAGAAAUCGCACCCUCUAAUACAGGGUGUGGAUGACGGUACCAGCAGAAGAAGCACCGGCUAACUACGUG
rnacentral:rRNA from 1 species